AAGACUAUAGACCUGCGGAGUACCUGCGGAAGGAUCAUUACAUGGCGGAGGAGGUGGGCACCUAGUAAAAACAAAACCCUAGGUGUGUUGCCUACCACGCUUUCUACCCUUGUCUAUUUGCACCUUUUGUCGUUCCCUCGGUGGGUCUUGAACCUGCCGGCGGCAACUUUCAAAAACCUUUUGUAGUUAGUAUCUAAUUCUUCUGAUCAAAUAUUCAAUCGUUACAACUUUCAACAAUGG
rnacentral:misc_RNA from 1 species